rnacentral:rRNA from 1 species
UCACUACCUUCGGAGGAGCGUUCGUGCUUUAACUAAGUGCGUGCGGGAUUCCGAUAGUUUACUUUGAGAAAAAUAGAGUGUUCAAAGCAGGCGUUUGCCUUGAAUACAUUAGCAUGGGAUAAUGAAAUAGGACGUUGGUUCUAUUUUGAUGGUUUACGGACCGACGUAAUGAUUAAUAGGGACAGUUGGGGACAUUUAUAUUCCAUGGCUAGAGGUGAAAUUCUUGGAUUCAUGGAAGAUAAACUACUGCGAAAGCAUUUGUCAAAGAUGUUUUCAUUGAUCAAGAACGAAAGUUAGGGGAGCAAAGACGAUCAGAUACCGUCGUAGUCUUAACCAUAAACGAUGCCGACUAGGGAUCGGUGGGCGUUAGUUUGAUGACUCCAUCGGCACCUCAUGGGAAACCAAAGUCUUUGGGUUCCGGGGGGAGUAUGGUCGCAAGGCUGAAACCUAAAGGAAUUGACGGAAGGGCACCACCAGGAGUGG